rnacentral:rRNA from 1 species
AUUGAACGCUGGCGGCAUGCCUUACACAUGCAAGUCGAACGGUAACGGGCCUUCGGGUGCCGACGAGUGGCGAACGGGUGAGUAAUGCAUCGGAACGUACCUUUCAGUGGGGGAUAACGUAGCGAAAGUUACGCUAAUACCGCAUACGAUCUACGGAUGAAAGCGGGGGAUCGCAAGACCUCGCGCGAAUGGAGCGGCCGAUGUCAGAUUAGGUAGUUGGUGGGGUAAAGGCUCACCAAGCCAACGAUCUGUAGCUGGUCUGAGAGGACGACCAGCCACACUGGAACUGAGACACGGUCCAGACUCCUACGGGAGGCAGCAGUGGGGAAUUUUGGACAAUGGGCGCAAGCCUGAUCCAGCCAUUCCGCGUGCAGGAUGAAGGCCUUCGGGUUGUAAACUGCUUUUGUACGGAACGAAACGGUCUGCCCUAAUACGGCGGGCUAAUGACGGUACCGUAAGAAUAAGCACCGGCUAACUACGUGCCAGCAGCCGCGGUAAAGUACGUCUA